rnacentral:rRNA from 1 species
CCUACGGGUGGCAGCAGUGAGGAAUAUUGGUCAAUGGGCGGAAGCCUGAACCAGCCAAGUCGCGUGAGGGAUUCAGGCCCUGCGGGUCGUAAACCUCUUUUGCCGGGGAGCAGAGGUCCGGACGUGUCCGGGCCGGGAGAGUACCCGGAGAAAACGCAUCGGUUAACUCCGUGCCAGCAGCAGCGGUAAUACGGAGGAUGCGAGCGGUAUCCCGAUUUAUUGGGUUUAAAGGGUGCGUAGGCGGGCCUUUAAGCCGGCGGUCAAAUGUCGGGGCUCAACCCCGGCCUGCCGUCGGAACUGGGUGCCUUGAGUGGGCGAGAAGUAUGCGGAAUGCGUGGUGUAGCGGUGAAAUGCAUAGAUAUCACGCAGAACCCCGAUUGCGAAGGCAGCAUACCGGCGCCCUACUGACGCUGAGGCACGAAAGUGCGGGUAUCGAACAGGAUUAGAUACCCUUGUAGUC